GACGGAGGAUGCAAGCGUUAUCCGGAAUGAUUGGCGUAAAGCGUCUGCAGGUGGCAGUUCAAGUCUGCUGUCAAAGACCGGGGCUUAACUUCGGAAAGGCAGUGGAAACUGAACAGCUAGAGUAUGGUAGGGGCAGAGGGAAUUCCUGGUGUAGCGGUGAAAUGCGUACGAGAUCAGGAAGAACAUCGGUGGCGAAGGCGCUCUGCUGGACCAUAACUGACACUCAGGGACGAAGCUAGGGGAGCGAAUGG
rnacentral:rRNA from 1 species